rnacentral:lncRNA from 1 species
AUGCACAAUUUGAUGUCCUUAAAGUUAAGAUUUCAGUGUAUAGACACUUUAAGGUGGAAUCAUUUUUGGAUGCCGUUUGUCCUGGUUUUCAUUUUGGAUCUCUUCUCCUGCACCUCCCCUCCCCCCACCCUUGCAGGAGCACCGUGCGGCAAGUCACCAGGGUGGUCCGUCCAAGCUGCGGAUUUGUGUGUCGUCCUUGUAAGGCAGUCUCCUCCUCCGCGGCCCCUACAGGGAAGUGCCUCACAUAUCAGCACACCGGAGCAAAAUGAAAGAAUUUAUUCUGAGGCCUCAAAAGUAGAGCUGCUACAGACCCUGAGCAAGAAGCAGUGGACUUCUGCCUGCACGGAUGGUCUUGAAACACGAACGGUUGUGGCCGUGUUUAGUGCUGUUGUCUAGGCUCUGAGAGCACAGCCGAUGUGUGAGAGCAGCAGACAGGACUCGGAGUGGAACGAUUUAUAGAUAACCCACCGAGCUGCAUUAUCUCCUAAAUGCGUGUGUCCUGAGACCAUUUCUGAUGGCAUCUAGUGACCUCGCCUGGGCAUGUGCUGCCUGGUCAUCUGCGCUCAUUUGUCACUUCUAGAGUUUGUCACUUUCUACUAGAUUUACUAAAAUAACACGGACGGGGAAAACGAAAUAAAUAUUAGGGAUGCCUGGGAUGCUUUAUUCUU